rnacentral:rRNA from 1 species
AUACGUAGGGAGCGAGCGUUGUCCGGAAUGAUUGGGCGUAAAGGGCGCGUAGGCGGCCCGGUAAGUCUGGAGUGAAAGUCCUGUUUUUAAGAUGGGAAUUGCUUUGGAUACUGUCGGGCUUGAGUGCAGGAGAGGUAAGUGGAAUUCCCAGUGUAGCGGUGAAAUGCGUAGAGAUUGGGAGGAACACCAGUGGCGAAGGCGACUUACUGGACUGUAACUGACGCUGAGGCGCGAAAGUGUGGGGAGCAAACAGGAUUAGAUACCCUGGUAGUCCACACUGUAAACGAUGAAUGCUAGGUGUAGGGGGUAUCGACCCCUUCUGUGCCGCAGUCAACACAAUAAGCAUUCCGCCUGGGGAGUACGGCCGCGAGGUUGAAACUCAAAUGAAUUGACGGGG